UACGAAGGGUGCAAACGUUGCUCGGAAUCAUUGGGCGUAAAGAGCGCGUAAGCGGUCCGGUAAGUCCGCUCUGAAAGUCCGGGGCUCAACCCCGGGAGGCGGGCGGAUACUGUCGGGCUAGAGUCCGGAAGAGGCGAGUGGAAUUCCUGGUGUAGCGGUGAAAUGCGCAGAUAUCAGGAAGAACACCUAUGGCGAAGGCAGCUCUCUGGGACGGUACUGACGCUGAGACGCGAAAGCGUGGGGAGCGAACAGG
rnacentral:rRNA from 1 species